rnacentral:rRNA from 1 species
CCUACGGGAGGCAGCAGUAGGGAAUAUUGCUCAAUGGGGGAAACCCUGAAGCAGCAACGCCGCGUGGAGGAUGAAGGUUCUCGGAUUGUAAACUCCUUUUGUUAAAGAAGUUAAUGACGGUAUGUAACGAGUAAGCACCGUCUAACUCCGUGCCAGCAGCCGCGGUACUACGGCGGCUGCCAGCGUUACUCGGAGUCACUGGGCGUAAAGAGCGCGUAGGCGGGUUAGAAAGUCAGAUGUGAAAUCCUAUGGCUUAACCAUAGAAUUGCAUGUGAAACUGUGAUUCUAGAGUAUGGGAGAGGUAGGUGGAAUUCGUGGUGUAGCGGUAAAAUGCGUAGAGAUCAAGAAGAAUACUCAUUGCGAAGGCGACCUGCUAGAACAUAACUGACGCUGAUGCGCGAAAGCGUGGGGAGCAAACAGGAUUAGAUACCCUAGUAGUC